rnacentral:rRNA from 1 species
UGGGGAAUAUUGGACAAUGGGCGAAAGCCUGAUCCAGCCAUGCCGCGUGAGUGAAGAAGGCCUUCGGGUUGUAAAGCUCUUUCGGCGGGGACGAUGAUGACGGUACCCGCAUAAGAAGCCCCGGCAAACUUCGUGCCAGCAGCCGCGGUAAUACGAAGGGGGCUAGCGUUGUUCGGAAUUACUGGGCGUAAAGCGAACGUAGGCGGUGUUCCAUGUCAGAGGUGAAAGCCUGGGGCUCAACUCCAGAAUUGCCUUUGAAACGGGAACGCUUGAGUCCGAGAGAGGAUGGCGGAAUUCCUAGUGUAGAGGUGAAAUUCGUAGAUAUUAGGAAGAACACCGGUGGCGAAGGCGGCCAUCUGGCUCGGUACUGACGCUCAGGUUCGAAAGCGUGGGGAGCAAACA